AACGAACGCUGGCGGCAUGCCUAAUACAUGCAAGUCGAACGAGAUCUUCGGAUCUAGUGGCGCACGGGUGCGUAACGCGUGGGAAUCUGCCCUUUGGUUCGGAAUAACUUCUGGAAACGGAAGCUAAUACCGGAUGAUGACGUAAGUCCAAAGAUUUAUCGCCAGAGGAUGAGCCCGCGUAGGAUUAGCUAGUUGGUGAGGUAAAGGCUCACCAAGGCUACGAUCCUUAGCUGGUCUGAGAGGAUGAUCAGCCACACUGGGACUGAGACACGGCCCAGACUCCUACGGGAGGCAGCAGUAGGGAAUAUUGGACAAUGGGCGCAAGCCUGAUCCAGCAAUGCCGCGUGAGCGAUGAAGGCCUUAGGGUUGUAAAGCUCUUUUACCCGGGAUGAUAAUGACAGUACCGGGAGAAUAAGCCCCGGCUAACUCCGUGCCAGCCGCCGCCGUAA
rnacentral:rRNA from 1 species